rnacentral:rRNA from 1 species
UACAGAGGGCCCGAGCGUUGUUCGGAUUCAUUGGGCGUAAAGGGUGCGUAGGCGGUUUGCUAAGUUUGAUGUGAAAUCCCGGGGCUCAACCCUGGAAUUGCAUUGAAUACUGGCGGACUAGAGUCCUGGAGAGGAAACUGGAAUUUACGGUGUAGCAGUGAAAUGCGUAGAGAUCGUAAGGAAGACCAGUGGCGAAGGCGAGUUUCUGGACAGGUACUGACGCUGAGGCACGAAGGCCAGGGGAGCAAACGGG